UACGAAGGGGGCUAGCGUUGUUCGGAAUUACUGGGCGUAAAGCGCACGUAGGCGGAUUGUUAAGUCAGGGGUGAAAUCCCGGGGCUCAACCCCCGGAACUGCCUUUGAUACUGGCAUUCUCGAGUCCGGAAGAGGUGAGUGGAAUUCCGAGUGUAGAGGUGAAAUUCGUAGAUAUUCGGAGGAACACCAGUGGCGAAGGCGGCUCACUGGUCCAUUACUGACGCUGAGGUGCGAAAGCGUGGGGAGCAAACAGG
rnacentral:rRNA from 1 species